CGCGUAGGUGGCCAUUUAAGUCCGCUGUGAAAGUCAAAGGCUCAACCUUUGAAAGCCGGUGGAUACUGGGUGGCUAGAGUACGGAAGAGGCGAGUGGAAUUCCUGGUGUAGCGGUGGAAUGCGCAGAUAUCAGGAGGAACACCAAUAGCGAAGGCAGCUCGCUGGGACGUUACUGACACUGAGGCGCGAAAGCGUGGGGAGCGAACA
rnacentral:rRNA from 1 species